rnacentral:rRNA from 1 species
UUGGAGGGCAAGUCUGGUGCCAGCAGCCGCGGUAAUUCCAGCUCCAAUAGCGUAUAUUAAAGUUGUUGCAGUUAAAAAGCUCGUAGUUGAAUUUCGGGGUUAGUAGGUUGGUCAUGCCUCUGGUAUGUACUGGUCUCACUGAUUCCUCCUUCCUGAUGAACCGUAAUGCCAUUAAUUUGGUGUUGCGGGGAAUUUGGACUGUUACUUUGAAAAAAUUAGAGUGUUUAAAGCAAGCUAACGCUUGAAUACAUUAGCAUGGAAUAAUGAAAUAGGACGUUCGAUCCUAUUUUGUUGGUUUCUAGGAUUGACGUAAUGAUUAAUAGGGAUAGUUGGGGGCAUUAGUAUUCAAUUGUCAGAGGUGAAAUUCUUGGAUUUAUUGAAGACUAACUACUGCGAAAGCAUUUGCCAAGGAUGUUUUCAUUAAUCAAGAACGAAAGUUAGGGGAUCGAAGACGAUCAGAUACCGUCGUAGUCUUAACCAUAAACUAUGCCGACUAGGGAUCGGAUGAUGUUAAUUUUUUAAUGACUCAUUCGGCGCCUUACGGGAAACAAUCG